AUUACUUCUAUCGUACUUUUUAUUCUAUUUACAUACGUAUUUGAGUAGUCUGUAGAAAUUUUUUCAACAAGAAAUAUUCAAAUUGAGUCCCCUGCACAUUUGUAGAGCACCUCACAAUUAAAACCUCCUAUCGGCGGGAAAGAUGCAGGUCGUAAUUUUGGUUUGACACAAAAAAGAAAUUUUCAUUUUCAUACAUUUUUCUUCUAUGUGAACUAAGAAAAUUCAUACAACAAAAAUUUUCUACAAUUUUUUUAUCAAGUUAAAGUGAUUUUUUUCACCCAAAGAACUCGUCCUUUUUUUCAAACUUGCGGUAAUUUCACAUUUUACCAUUUUUCCGGGGUUUUCUUAGUUCACAUAGAAGAGAAAUGUAUGAAAAUCAAAAUUUCUUUUGGUUUUUUUGUGUCAAACCAAAAUUACGACCUGCAUCUUUCCCGCCGAUAGGAGGUUUUAAUUAUGAGGUGCUCUACAAAUGUGCAGGAGACUCAAUUUGAAUAUUUCUUGUUGAACAAAUUUCUACAGACUACUCAAAUACGUAUGAAAAUAGUAUAAAAAGUUCGAAAGAAGUAAUUAUUUAUUUCCAUCCUAAAAAAAUUCACGAGAAACCGCUUUUUUUAGACCUUCUAAUUCAGGAUACAUCCUUAAGUAUGUUCAAAAUUUAUGUGACUUGGUUGCUUUAUUACUUGGUCGUAGAAAUAGAUACAUUCUUUAGUAAUAGGUAAUCUUUGUUACAUUUACAGCCAACUAUACGAAAAACCGCUUUUUUUAGACCACCUAAUUCAGGAUACUCCCUCAAAUGAUAAGAGGAGUGAUGUAAAGGGUGUUCGGAGACAGUGGCGCCAAGUUAAGUCUUUUUUUUUUAAAUCGUCGCAAAAUAUUUCUAAUAAACAGUUCCAGUACUUUUCUGUAAAAGUAUUUAGUAAUAUUAUCAUUAUUACUAUUAUUGAACUGGAAUUUGGUAACAGAUGAAACAAAAUUGCUUAAGUAAAAAUUGUACAGUAUAAAAACGUCCACGAGACUGCGAACACAAGUUUCAUAUAGCGUGUGAUGGAUACAUUUUUGUUGGGAGAAAUGUUAUUAAAAAUAAUUAUUUUUUUUUUUUUUUUUAAUUUCUUACUAUGGUGAAUUUUGUAUUUAAGCUAUUUUAGAUAUCUCCUACGGUUUCAGAGGUAUUUCCAAAAAUAAAACUAACCGAAAUUAUUUUCGAGACAAAAUGGAAAAGGUGAUCAAAUUCCCGCAAACUUUAUUUCUGCAAAAAUUCAAAUCUCAUAUUCGAUUAGAAAUGUCUCACAGCUCAGUUUCUAGGAUCACCCUGUACAUCGAUGGCGAUUUUAAAAAGACCUACCCCGAUUUAUUUAUAGGAAACCGCUAUUACGGCCCAGGGUCACGAACAAACUCGAGUACAGUUAGUUAAACGCAAUUGUCCGUACGCACUGAAUAUUAUCCGCUAAACUGUUCCGACGCAUUCAUCGAUACAAGAAUGGAAAGCAUUGUAUUACGUUAAUAAUGUUUUCUUCGCACACUCGACGCGUAACGACUUCCUUUUACAUAGCAAGAACAACGUCUCAGACAUCUACCCUCGUAAGAGGAAACUUAACGAGUUUCUUGUAGAUAAACCGCGUAUAACUUUCCGCGGGAGUUGAACGAGUUUCUUAUCUGGCUUGGUCUAUUAGCACGACCAGACGGUCGUAAUUUAUCAAACGGUUCCGACGCCGGGCAAUUUUUUCGCACGCCAUACCUCGGCCAUUGUUCGGCGUUUCGGAACACCGGAAAUUCACGUUCGAUUUAAAGGAUCUGGGUCAGUGGUCGCUGAACGUUUCGAAAGGGGUUGAACGAUGGACAAAUUACGCGUGUUAGGUUGUCCUAAAGUUUCUUUCGGGAUUUGUACUCAGUUGUUUUGUUUGGCAGUGUUUACAGUGGGUGUAGAAUGUAUUUGUACACCGAUAAAUUUCCCAAAAAACUUUUGUGUGAAAUUGUAGUUUCUUAACUUUUUUUUUUUAUAAUCCAUGUUGUUUUACAUAUUCUUGGAAAUCUCUAAGAUAGAUAUAGUCCAAACAACAUUUACUAGUUCAUGUAAUUUGUGAAAUUAACAAAAAAAUUGCGAAAAGUAGGUAAAAGUAUAGAAGCAAUAAGUAUUUGUACGAUUCUUAUGACGAACCAUUUACAGUAGAGUUUGUAACGUAAAUACAUUAGUUUAUUGCUCCGUGCGAAUUAGAAAACAUCAAAUUUCCAGGAAAGUACUUUUAAACAGUUGUGCGAAUAUUUAUUGCUUCAACAUUUCCAUCGAUUAAUUGUUUUUUUUUUUUUUUUUUUUUUUGUCAAUUUCGCAACUUACAUAAAUGGCUAUUUUUUGUUGUAAUCUAUCUAUUCUAGAGAUUUCCGAGAAUAUGUAGAAUGUCAUUGUUUAUAAAAAAUAAGUUGAUAAAUUACAAUUUCACACAGUUUUUUUGGAAAUUGAUCGGUGUACGAAUACUUUCUACACCCACUGUAUAUAAAUAGAAAACCUUAUCUCUUAGUACGUUAACUGCCAGACUAAUACUUGUGAAAAAUAUUAGUCUAACACGUCGUUUCUAUGCAACUGAAACUUACUUUUGUUCAAUUUAAACUUGUAUUUAUUUUCGCGACUUCGUUAAAUUCGCGAAUUUUACAUAGAUUUAUUUUCUUUAACUCAUCGUCUUCAGAAUUAUAUUAUUUAAUCCUGUCAGCGAUAAAUAAAUGACACGGCGACCAAUGUGUUAAUAAUUGAUGUUAUAACGGUAUAGAGCAAAACAGUGUUUACCAAAAUUUACCAUUCAAUUUAUAUCUAAUUCUUAACAUUUAUCAAUAGUACUAUAAUCAAUUUGGUCAAAAAUCCAAAUAUAAUUGAAAAUAAGUUAACGGAGGAUUCAAUAGGAUUCUGCGAAUCUUGGCAAUGAAUGGAGUGAAACUCGUGCCGCAAAUGAACAAUUUCGCGAUCUAGGAUGCACCUAAUGCGUCUAACGGUCUAAGUGACCGUUCGUCGUAAUAAUAAAAUAGGCCAGCGCAGCUUUCAGAAAUGAAAUCAUCCAGAAAAACAACAAUUUGGAGGGAGAAAAUAAAUUGCAUGACUCUGGCGUAACUAGGAAGUAACUAGAUCAUAGAAAUUCUGUUACAUCUACUCGACAAUUUAAACGUGUUUUUCUAGAAAUUAUGUUUAUUGAACCAGACGGUUGACACUAUUUUGCAGUAACGGACGAAUUCACUUGAAACGUGGAACACGUGAACUGGAUAUCCUACGUUUGGUUAAACCACUACAAUAAUUUAUUUGCGUAAUUUUUUCUUGUUUCUUCUUUAUAGCGUUCUAUAACUUUAAAUUUUCUCACUUGAAAUUUUGUAAUAUGCAAGCAAAAAAGGUAAAUAAUUCCCAAUUUAAUUAUGUUCAAACUUCAUAACGCUGUCAUUUUACUAAUUUUGUGUAUUUUUCUCUUAUUUUGUUUCUAAUUAUAGCCACAUCCAUGUGGAUUAAUAAUUGCUUCAGUCCACUAGAAUUAUUACUAUUUCUUGUAAGUAUUGCGUAGACGACCUAUUUCAUUAAAACUAUUACAUAUUUUUGUAUGAAAAAGUUUAUAUAACUUGGCAAGAUAUGUAAAAACUGCGAUAGGAAAUUCCAUACUACUAUCUUGAACAGUUUUCAUGUUAUAUAAUUUCAGGUAUACUCAACUAUUGUAAUGUUUCAACUACAAUAUCUUCUAAACCUCGUAGAAAAUAGUUUAGAGUUUGGAAAAAUUCAAUUCCAAUAAUAAAUCAUUAAUAGAAAAACACUCUAUAUCUCAUCAUUUAUAAUAUUUAUUCAAUCAGACAGAUAUUCAGAUAAACUUGCAUCCAAUCGAUCUGAAAUUUCAUUUCAUUUUGUAAUUUAAACUUGCAAUUUUGAUCGAACAAAUUACAGAUCAAAAUUUAUUUGUCAGAAUAUUUCGUCAUCUUUCAUGUGUUACUCGAAAUUUGUAUCUAAAUAAGAAUUUUGCUCAUGGUAAAUUGGGAUAAAAAAUAGCUAUUAUACAGCACACCCCAAACAAUAUCUAGAAAUGUCUAACAAAAGAAACGAAUUGCCUGAAAUGUUGUUACUACAUUGUGUUUAGUGGAAUCGCCCAGAAAUAAUUUAUUAUGGAUUGCUUCCCUCCAAAGAAAGAAAAUGAAAGGUUGAGGUAAAAUAGCUAGCACGAGAACGUUCGGCCAAGCGUGACGUGAAUGGCACAGAAAAAAUUAUACGACUACGACUGGGAAAUUUUACAACCUCCACGUUAUUCACCGGACAUCGCACCGACGGAUUACCAUUUGUUUAGGUCCCUACAGCAUUCUUCGGCAAAGAAAUGUUUCCAGGAUGCGGACACCCUCCUGAGGCACGUUGAGGAAUUUUUUAACAAAACAAAGGAAACAUUCUAUAAAAGCGACGUAAAGAAAUUACUUCGAUAUGAAAAGAUAUGGUGAUUAUGAAUAUUGAUUAAUUAUGAAUAUUUAUGAAAAAUGAAUGGUUUCAUGUCUGUCCUUCAAAAAUAGCAUCAACUUCUUUUUAGCACUAGACAUGGCUAAAAUUCUUAUGCAGAUACAAAUUUCGAGUAACAAAUAAAAUAAUGGUUACAAAAACAGCAUGUACGAUUACUUUAAUAAUUCCCGUAUAUUACAAAAUUAUUGAGACAAUAGAUUGACUUCAUUAUAUUGCAUUCCUAUAAGUUGUAUUAUACGUAUUGUAUAUAUAAGUUGUAUAUUAUAUACUAUAUACAAUACUUUCCCUUAAUAACCGAGUUUUGCUCCAAAACAGGUUCCCAUCAAAAUGAUGCAAAAUAAAGUGAUAAAAACGUUGCACGCUCGAGUGCGAGAAUAAACCAGUUUUCUAAAGGGAGGCAGAAAGGAACACACCUAACGCCUUCUUUUAUUAUUUUAAACAUAGAAGUUUAAUAUGUGUGGGAAUAUACUCUUUUGCCAUCUAUCUUAUUUAACAAAUAACUCCCCUUCCUACAUUUCAAUGGAAGGAUACUAUAUAAUGGUAUUUAAAUAAUCACGAUUUUUUAGUUUGUAUCGCGUUACUUGCAAUAUAUAAUGUAGCGAAUGUAACUUAUUUAUCAGUGGAAGAGUUCCUCUAGCAUUUAAUUAGAAGCUUUCUUUGAAUAACUACGUAUACUCAACGAGUAAGAGAUUAAAUCAGUUAAAAUUAAUAACAAAUAGAAUGUAUUUUGAAUGUAAACUUAAAAGAAAUUGCAAUGAACAUAAAGGAAGUGUUGCGUCUAUAAAUCUUGGAUACGGUAAUUUUUCUAUUGUUUUUUAAAGAGGCACUUUCUAAAAAAGUUUACAAGCCAUUGAAAUAAACGAGUACAGCGUACAAUUUUAGAAACUAAAUUAGAGCCAGAUUUAAGCUUAGAAUAAAUCUGUAUACGUAUCUAAAGAAAAGUGUUAUUUGU